rfam:Schistosoma margrebowiei strain Zambia genome assembly, scaffold: SMRZ_scaffold0002545
AUCCAGCUAACGAGUCUCAAAUAGGACGAAAUGGCGCGCGUCCUGGAU